rnacentral:rRNA from 1 species
AGCGAACGCUGGCGGCAGGCCUAACACAUGCAAGUCGAACGAAGCCUUCGGGCUUAGUGGCGGACGGGUGAGUAACACGUGGGAACGUACCUUUUGGUUCGGAACAACUCAGGGAAACUUGAGCUGAUACCGGAUGAGCCCUUAGGGGGAAAGAUUUAUCGCCAAAAGAGCGGCCCGCGUUAGAUUAGCUAGUUGGUGAGGUAAAGGCUCACCAAGGCAACGAUCUAUAGCUGGUCUGAGAGGAUGAUCAGCCACACAGGGACUGAGACACGGCCCAGACUCCUACGGGAGGCAGCAGUGGGGAAUCUUGCGCAAUGGGCGAAAGCCUGACGCAGCCAUGCCGCGUGAAUGAUGAAGGUCUUAGGAUUGUAAAAUUCUUUUACCAGGGACGAUAAUGACGGUACCUGGAGAAAAAGCCCCGGCUAACUUCGUGCCAGCAGCCGCCGUAACAC